UGACACGGAUGUUGGGAAUCCAGUACUCGCCCCGGUACCGGAUCUUGUGAAUCCGCAACCCGCUUCGAUACCGACUGCUGUGAAUCCGGUACCGAUGGUUGGGAUUCCGCAACGGAAACGUCAAAUCGGAUUUUUACCAUAAACCCGUCUCCUCAGCAAAAACCGAUGCAAUCAUAAAAGAGAGAAAUAUGCAGGUAAAAUAAGAUUCAUUAAAUAAGAGAAAAUUACACCUGACUCCUCUUCUGCACAGAGUAGCUACAAUUCGAGCUCUCUUUCUGAAUCUCUCCUACCCUUCUCUCGUCUUCUAUAAUCCCAUAAAGAAGACAAUCAUUCGCGCGCACCCAUGCACUAGGUGCACUAAAUAACUCUCUCUCUCUCUUUUUCUCUCUCUGGUACGGCACCUAAGAGGCCUUUUCUCUCUCUCUCCCGUAUUCACAUCUCAAAAAGCAAACCCACAAAGAGCUAUUUAUAAGGCUCCACAAAAAACGUACCCCAAUCCUAAUAUAUUUAGGAUUUCUACUCCAAUUAAUAUCUAAAUCUAUCUUAAUUAAUCUCUAAUAGAUUUAAAUAUUAAUCCUAAUCUAGUUAGAUUUAUCCUCUAAUUAAUAUUUAAAUCUCAACAGAUUUAAAUAUUAAUUAUUAUCCAAAUAGAAUUCAAUUACAAAUCUAACCAAAUCUUAACAACGGAGGGCAAGAUAAUGUGG
rnacentral:lncRNA from 1 species